rnacentral:lncRNA from 1 species
UAUUUCCCAGAAUUCUUUAGCCUCGUUCAAGAAGGAGGGCAUUUUGGGACAAUAUCUUUGAGACAGAAGAGAUUGUUAUUCUUCAUGAAUUUUACUCUGAACUAAUUACUUUCAUGUAGCAUUAAUUGCCAUGUUUUCACAGGCACAUAUUCUGGAUGAACACAUCAAAGAAAGAUAAAAGUUGGAACUUUUAAGAUAGAAAUUAGUGGGUUCUGUGCUUUGUCCUUCUGGAAACCUCAGAUCCAAAACAUCAGAAAUUUGCAUCAUCUCUGCACUGCACUGACAGGAUGGAGAUGGAAUACUCUGCCAUUACAACAAAAUGGACUGUGCUUAGAAUUUUUUCAAGACAGAAUGCUCAUGGCCCUGCCUAGCUCAUGGUAAAGUCUGUGCAGUGUAUUUUGUAACUGCUGGCUCAUAUGCCUGCUGUCAGCCAAGAAAUUCUGUUUGCAUAACGUCUUUGAUGUGAUAAGCAAUCACUCUUUCAGUUAUGCAGCGAUGCCAACUUCCAUCACACACCAGCUAAUUCAUAUCAGAUCCUCCUUUUCUAAGGUUUAUGAUUUUUAAUCUAUUCUAAGCUAAUUUUCUCUAAAGGACUGAUUAUAGAUAUGUAAUCUCAACAGGAUUUUUACUCAAUCUAAGUUUACAAAAAUAGCACAGUUUCAUUUCAUAGUAGGCAG